AAUGAACGCUGGCGGCAGGCCUAACACAUGCAAGUCGAACGAGUGGCGGACGGGUGAGUAAUGUCUGGGAAACUGCCUGAUGGAGGGGGAUAACUACUGGAAACGGUAGCUAAUACCGCAUACCAUCAGAUGUGCCCAGAUGGGAUUAGCUAGUUGGUGGGGUAUCGGCUCACCAAGGCGACGAUCCCUAGCUGGUCUGAGAGGAUGACCGGCCACACUGGAACUGAGACACGGUCCAGACUCCUACGGGAGGCAGCAGUGGGGAAUAUUGCACAAUGGGCGCAAGCCUGAGACAGCCAUGCCGCGUGAGUGAUGAAGGCCUUCGGGUUGUAAAGUACUUUCAGCGGGGAAGCGUUACCCACAGAAGAAGCACCGGCUAACUCCGUGCCAGCAGCCGCGGUAAUAC
rnacentral:rRNA from 1 species